rnacentral:rRNA from 1 species
CCUACGGGAGGCAGCAGUGGGGAAUCUUAGACAAUGGGGGCAACCCUGAUCUAGCCAUGCCGCGUGAGUGAUGAAGGCCUUAGGGUCGUAAAGCUCUUUCGCCUGUGAUGAUAAUGACAGUAGCAGGUAAAGAAACCCCGGCUAACUCCGUGCCAGCAGCCGCGGUAAUACGGAGGGGGUUAGCGUUGUUCGGAAUUACUGGGCGUAAAGCGCGCGUAGGCGGAUUAGAAAGUUGGGGGUGAAAUCCCGGGGCUCAACCCCGGAACUGCCUCCAAAACUGCUAGUCUAGAGUUCGAGAGAGGUGAGUGGAAUUCCGAGUGUAGAGGUGAAAUUCGUAGAUAUUCGGAGGAACACCAGUGGCAAAGGCGGCUCACUGGCUCGAUACUGACGCUGAGGUGCGAAAGUGUGGGGAGCAAACAGGAUUAGAUACCCUGGUAGUCCACACCGUAAACGAUGAAUGCCAGUCGUCGGAUAGUAUACUAUUCGGUGACACACCUAACGGAUUAAGCAUUCCGCCUGGGGAGUACGGUCGCAAGAUUAAAACUCAAAGGAAUUGACGG